GGUUUAUUCAGUGUGGCUGUUGCUAUGAGAGUGAAGAGAUUUGCUGGCCCUGAAGCAGGGAGAGGACACAGAUGCUGUUUUGUUCUGUAUCAGUUACAGAUUCUGGUCACUUGUGGAGGACAUGCUGCUUUCUGCCCCUAACAGGCACAUGGUGGCCAAGGGAAGAUUUUAAUCUCUGGAUCUGCACUGGUGGUUCUAACUGAGGUUUAUUACCUGUGGGGAAGAGAAAAACAACCUCAGGAGUGCUCUCCCAUUCAGAGCCAGUCUAAGGCUCUGUUUGUACUGAUGAGAAAGUAUCUUUGCACCCCUGUUCUCAACAGGAUCAUGCUGGGCCAUCUCCAGUCAUUUUUUGCUGAAAAAAAUAAUGUGUAAAUAGGGAAGGAAAUAAGGACUUGAUUCUCUCUCUCCAGGUGAAGUAAAAAGAUUGUAACUAUAUAAAACAGGAAAGUUCCUGGUGCUGUUGAACUCUCUUUUGAAAGUUUGUUCCUACCACAAUUAGGUUUUGGCUGUUGUUUUUCAGGGCGACAGCACCAGAAUCAUUGCCCAGAGCAUUGAUUCAGAAAUUAAUUCUAUUUCAGGGAGGAUGACAGGUUUUGAGAUAGCCAAGCAAACAACAAGCUGAAGUACUGCCCAUAAUGUGGAGUGCUGUGAGUGCCAUAUUAAACACAAUUUUAAUCAGUUGUAAUGAAGGGGAAAUGGUAGAAACACAUGUUCUUCAUCCCUGUUCAGCUCUUAUAACAUUCAAGAGCUACAUCCAGAGCUGAAGCCCCAGUACAAGACAGAAGCCACCACUCUAAGAGCAUAUGGAAGGUGAGGGCCUCUGCUUCAUUAUCCACUCAAUAACUCUUCCACUUCCAAGGGAAUAUUAAAUGAAGGAGGCAUUUGUAAACAAGAACACGCAGAGCCCCAAGCCAGGCGCACAAGAGAGAGAGAGGCACUGGGAAAGAACAUAAGUCUUUAGCCACUUAUUGAUGGGACCACCAAGGACCAUCAGGCACAGCUUUGGAGAGGAAUCUGUAACUGAUAAGGAGGAAGCAAGAGGAACAGGACAACUGAGGGUAUUUGAGGUGGGCCUGAGGGACUGAACUUAAGGAAUGUUUAGUGUGUCAGGGCAAAACAAGAGAGAAGGAAAAAUUAGGACAUUAAAAGGGUGUAAAAGAAGGGUCAGUCAAAUGUAACACCUCACUGAUCAGUGUAUUUGGC
rnacentral:lncRNA from 1 species